UCGACUUUAGAAAUCAUGAGGGUUCAAGUCCCUCUAUCCCCAAAUCCCCCAAAAAGUCUUA
rnacentral:tRNA from 2 species